GCACCCCCGGCACAAGGCCUGGGACACAGAAUGUGUGCAGUGAACACAGAUACGAGCAUGGGGGGUCCCCGUGCCUCCCAGGUGCUGUGGACACGCCCACACGGUGGCCCCCCGAGAAGCUCUGUCCGGGGACCGUGGCUGAGGAGCGAGCCCGGGAGUCAGGAGCGAUCCAGGAAUUCCUGGUGGGGUCACGGGGACCCUGGAGGCUGCAAUCAGCCUACCUCGGUCCCCCCACCACCCCGGCCCGGGUUCCCCUCUCCACCCCUUCUGGUCCCCCCUCCACCUCUCUGGUCCCCCGCUCCGGUCCCCCUGCCACCCCCUCUGGUCCUCUCCCCCCCACACUGGUAACCCUCAGGCUCUCUGGUCCCCCCUCCACCCCCAGCCCCGUCCCUGCUCCGUCCCCAUCCCAUGCCCCACACCUGCCCCCCCCCCCCCCCCCGUUUGUCCUGCUUCCUCAGGAUACACAGGAAGGUGACUCAUUGCUGGUGGGGCUGUUUGCUAGCGAGCCUCCCGUUCUGCGCAGCUGCCCCACCUGGGGACCUGCCGCGCCGACCCCGGGCCCCUUCGACUGUCAGGAUUCUGUGCGGCGGGGGUCUGGGAGGGGCUCGCUUCCCGGCAGGUUAAUGGAAGAAUCCGAGCAUGUGAACGAGGGACCGGAAAGGCGUCUUGGCCACGCCGUGACCCUGUGUCCUCAACCCUCUGUGCCGCUCCCAGCACCAGUCACACACCCCUGCUCACGCGCCCGGAGACCAGGGGAAAUUGGCCGAGCUCAUCGGGGAGGCCUCCAACAGGAAUCCCUCGCGGAGGUGUGACUUUGGGUGUGUCCAGGGCCUGCUGGGAGUUAGGGGCCCCCUGGCUGCAUCCCGGCUCUGCGGGGGGAGCACCUGGCAAAGGGCAGGACCUGACCUCUGACCUGGGAGCCCCCCGGGGGCCAUGGCGGUCUCUGGCCCAGCUUUGCACGGGCCCCUCCAGGGUGAGGGCGGACCCCCUGUCCCCCCCUCUCCACCGGACAGCGCUCCCCUCCGGGGCCUGAGCUGCCCUCCGGGCAGGGCGCGUGUGCCCUCUGCAGGCUCAGACCCCGGGGCAGCCUCCUGCAGCCCGAGCCUGGUCGUAGUCACGGUGCACAGCAGGUAAGGCGAGCGUGUCCACGAGUGUGUCCACGCACACAAACCCGCCGCCUCUUGCCCCCGCCUUCCCCGUUCCGCAACCCCGCCCCCCCCCCCCCCCCCCCCCGGGCUCUGUGCCUCAGCCGACCUUGCUUUGGGCUGUGUCGGGGGCUCUCUUCCUCCUGCGACCUGCCCCACCUGUCCAGCUGCUCAGGCCGGACACCCGGGGUCUUCUUGGCCGACCCCCACGCGUCCCCGCCUGCACCGUCCAGACACGGCUCCUGCCUGUCUCCUCCGCCUCCCCCCGCAGCCGGGGCCACCCCUCUCCCGCACACGCGGCACCUCCCCGCGUCUGUCCCGUCCCUGCAGGCCACCUCCACAGGCCACCCAAGGGGCCGCGCCAGCCCUCCCCUCCGCUCGGACCCAACGAGACUUCGCGGCCAGCGCCCUGACCCUGUAGCCCUGACGUCCGAGCCCCCGAGGCCGCCCUUGAUCCUGCCCGCCACCUCUCUGUCCCCUUGCUGCUGUCCUUCAGGGAGUCGGGCGUCAGAGGCCGGUCUCUGCCUCCUCGUGGGAACACCUUCUGGAGUGCAUGCUGUUUUGGGGUUCAUUCAGGGUGACGAGCGUGUUAUUUUGCUGCAUGAGAAUCACCGCCUCACCUACUGAGGGGAGCCGAAAGCCCCGGUCCCGGCCGUCCUGGCUGACGGAGCCAGGAGGCUCAUCCUCAGGGCUCCGCUCUUCAGGGGCAGGUGGCACGCACCCAGCGUUUCCAGGAACUCGAACCUGGAGGUGGACGAGGCAUUUUCCGGGCACCCUCUACCCUCUUGCCGGCAUGGGGACUCCUCCAUUGACCCUCCAGCGUGAAAGCGGUUCUGACUUGUUCAUCCAGACCCACAGAUUCCAGGGGCUCUGAGAAGGGGGCAGAGGGAUGCUGACCUCCUACCCCAGAGCCUAAGACAAAAUCAGACCCACACCAGGCCACGCAGGGCUGUUUGGAGAAGGAUCCAGGUGUCUGCAUUUCCACUGCUGUAGAGGCGUCUGGGCUUCAGGCGAUCUACACCCACUUGCCUCUCAGCCAGGGGACAUCUCCUUCGAGGGUGCUAUGACUGGAUGGAUGGGUUCAGUCCAGCCCAUGAACCAGGGAAACUGGUGCCAGAUGGGGCCAAGGGAUGUCAUGAAGAAUUGGCCGAGGUAGGAGGAGGAUCCAAGUUUUCGGAAUCCCUGCCAAGUUCUUCUGCCACCUGCCCUUCCCUGGCCAUGGCACAGGCCUGCCUGUGUCCAGUUCUGGCCACAUGUUAGGACUAAACUCCUUUGGCCUUGUUCCCUAAAAUUAAGAGGGUGGCUGAUUCCCUAGGAGACCUUGGUGUGAAAUGUUGUCUCUUUGAUUCACCCAUCCAUCCAUCAUCCAUCCAUCCAUCCAUCCAUUCACCCAUCAAUCCAUUUGUCCAUCCAUCCA